rnacentral:rRNA from 1 species
UACAGAGGGGGCCAGCGUUAUUCGGAAUUAUUGGGCGUAAAGGGUGCGUAGGCGGGUCUUUAAGUCAGGGGUGAAAUCCUGGAGCUCAACUCCAGAACUGCCUUUGAUACUGGCGAUCUUGAGUCCGGGAGAGGUGAGUGGAACUGCGAGUGUAGAGGUGAAAUUCGUAGAUAUUCGCAAGAACACCAGUGGCGAAGGCGGCUCACUGGCCCGGUACUGACGCUGAGGUGCGAAAGCGUGGGGAGCAAACAGG